AGAGUUUGAUCCUGGCUCAGGACGAACGCUGGCGGCGCGCCUAACACAUGCAAGUCGAACGGAGCUUAGAGAGCUUGCUUUUUAAGCUUAGUGGCGAACGGGUGAGUAACGCGUGAGUAACCUGCCCUAGAGUGGGGGACAACAGUUGGAAACGACUGCUAAUACCGCAUAAGCCCACGGUACCGCAUGGCACUGAGGGAAAAGGAUUUAUUCGCUUUAGGAUGGACUCGCGUCCAAUUAGCUAGUUGGUGAGGUAACGGCCCACCAAGGCGACGAUUGGUAGCCGGACUGAGAGGUUGAACGGCCACAUUGGGACUGAGACACGGCCCAGACUCCUACGGGAGGCAGCAGUGGGGGAUAUUGCACAAUGGGGGAAACCCUGAUGCAGCGACGCCGCGUGAGGGAAGAAGGUUUUCGGAUUGUAAACCUCUGUCCUUGGUGACGAUAAUGACGGUAGCCAAGGAGGAAGCCACGGCUAACUACGUGCCAGCAGCCGCGGUAAAACGUAGGUCACAAGCGUUGUCCGGAAUUACUGGGUGUAAAGGGAGCGCAGGCGGGAAGACAAGUUGGAAGUGAAAUCUAUGGGCUCAACCCAUAAACUGCUUUCAAAACUGUUUUUCUUGAGUAGUGCAGAGGUAGGCGGAAUUCCCGGUGUAGCGGUGGAAUGCGUAGAUAUCGGGAGGAACACCAGUGGCGAAGGCGGCCUACUGGGCACCAACUGACGCUGAGGCUCGAAAGUGUGGGUAGCAAACAGGAUUAGAUACCCUGGUAGUCCACACCGUAAACGAUGAUUACUAGGUGUUGGGAGGAUUGACCCCUUUCAGUGCCGCAG
rnacentral:rRNA from 1 species